AGAGUUUGAUCCUGGCUCAGGAUGAACGCUGGCGGCGUGCCUAACACAUGCAAGUCGAGCGAACCCUUCGGGGUGAGCGGCGGACGGGUGAGUAACGCGUGGGUAACCUGCCCUGUACACACGGAUAACAUACCGAAAGGUAUGCUAAUACGGGAUAAAGUAUGAGAGUCGCAUGGCUUUUGUAUCAAAGCUCCGGCGGUACAGGAUGGACCCGCGUCUGAUUAGCUAGUUGGUAAGGUAACGGCUUACCAAGGCAACGAUCAGUAGCCGACCUGAGAGGGUGAUCGGCCACAUUGGAACUGAGACACGGUCCAAACUCCUACGGGAGGCAGCAGUGGGGAAUAUUGCACAAUGGGCGAAAGCCUGAUGCAGCAACGCCGCGUGAGCGAUGAAGGCCUUCGGGUCGUAAAGCUCUGUCCUCAAGGAAGAUAAUGACGGUACUUGAGGAGGAAGCCCCGGCUAACUACGUGCCAGCAGCCGCGGUAAUACGUAGGGGGCUAGCGUUAUCCGGAAUUACUGGGCGUAAAGGGUGCGUAGGCGGUCUUUCAAGCCAGAAGUGAAAGGCUACGGCUCAACCGUAGUAAGCUUUUGGAACUGUAGGACUUGAGUGCAGGAGAGGAGAGUGGAAUUCCUAGUGUAGCGGUGAAAUGCGUAGAUAUUAGGAGGAACACCAGUAGCGAAGGCGGCUCUCUGGACUGUAACUGACGCUGAGGCACGAAAGCGUGGGGAGCAAACAGGAUUAGAUACCCUGGUAGUCCACGCCGUAAACGAUGAGUACUAGGUGUCGGGGGUUACCCCCCUCGGUGCCGCAGCUAACGCAUUAAGUACUCCGCCUGGGAAGUACGCUCGCAAGAGUGAAACUCAAAGGAAUUGACGGGGACCCGCACAAGUAGCGGAGCAUGUGGUUUAAUUCGAAGCAACGCGAAGAACCUUACCUAAGCUUGACAUCCCAUUGACCUCUCCCUAAUCGGAGAUUUCCCUUCGGGGACAGUGGUGACAGGUGGUGCAUGGUUGUCGUCAGCUCGUGUCGUGAGAUGUUGGGUUAAGUCCCGCAACGAGCGCAACCCUUGCCUUUAGUUGCCAGCAUUAAGUUGGGCACUCUAGAGGGACUGCCGAGGAUAACUCGGAGGAAGGUGGGGAUGACGUCAAAUCAUCAUGCCCCUUAUGCUUAGGGCUACACACGUGCUACAAUGGGUGGUACAGAGGGUUGCCAAGCCGUGAGGUGGAGCUAAUCCCUUAAAGCCAUUCUCAGUUCGGAUUGUAGGCUGAAACUCGCCUACAUGAAGCUGGAGUUACUAGUAAUCGCAGAUCAGAAUGCUGCGGUGAAUGCGUUCCCGGGUCUUGUACACACCGCCCGUCACACCAUGGGAGUUGGGGGCGCCCGAAGCCGGUUAGCUAACCUUUUAGGAAGCGGCCGUCGAAGGUGAAACCAAUGACUGGGGUGAAGUCGUAACAAGGUAGCCGUAUCGGAAGGUGCGGCUGGAUCACCU
rnacentral:rRNA from 1 species